UAAAAGUUUGAUUGAAGUAGUUCUAUUCCCAAAUUUUGUUUACAAAAGUCUAACAAUUUCCCCAAGUAGUCAGAUUAAUAAAAGAACUGAGAUGGCAUUACAUUAGUGCAUAGAAAGCAAAUCCGGUGUAUAAAAGUAAAAAAGAAAGAAAGUAAGCCAAAUGUGUAAAACGUAGGUUUUAAAUACAUGAAAGCAAUUACUAGUAUUGCAGGCACAGCAUUCUCAAGUGCUUUAUCCACACAUUAAGUUGUUAGAUGCAGUAUUGUUUUUUAGUGUCUUUUUCCUGCUAGAAGCAGGGCCAGUCCCUCUGCCACAAACUGUGCAGCUGUCUUGCCCUGCUCGUCAGCCAGGCUGUUUUACCGUGACCCAGCCUCCCAGCAGCUCUGGCAGUUGAUCUGGUCUCUGCACAGCUGGCCUAAGGGCCUCUUACAAUAGCGGCACCGCACUGCUGGGUCACACCUUCUUCUCCCCAAGGAUUUGAAUGAGUUGCUUACUCCAGCCCCAUUUCCAGACUACCAUGGAGCAAGUACACCCAGGCACAGACAGCCUGUGCAACGUGCACAGAGGCACUGCAGACGGGGUGUUGCGUAUCCAGGCCACGGCCGGCCAAAGCAAACAUCCUGCGCUUAACAAAGGAAUGUGAAGGAAGUGUAAGGAAGGCAGAGCCGCGCUGAAGGCAGCCUGAGCCAAAGCUGCUUUGCUUUUCAUCCAAAUCACAACUCUGCUGAAGCAGUUUGACCCAAGGCUCUUGGAAAAUAUGUAGCGGUUUAACUAAAAAGCAUGCUAAGAUUUGGCAAGAUAGUUCAAGCCUUAUUAUGGCAACAGUAGGUCUGCCUCCCAUUUUGAAGUUAUGUACUUCCUGUUGCUUUGGGGACACUAACAAACCUCCAGAAGCAAAAUUUCAGCAGCAGAGAUUUUUUUACUGAAUUCCAUAGCCUGCUAUGAAGCUCUCUAGCCCCUGCUUCCACUGUACCCUAAAAACCAGUGUGUAAUGCUCCAAGGUUUCACUGCAGUUAAGACAAAGAAGGUGAGCAAAAAAAAAAAAAAAAGAGAAAAGAUCCAAACAAACAAAGCAUGAAAAUAAGUAACAGCAGUUCAGAUUUAUCCAAGCAGUACAGAUAUGAGUUCCUGCAGAGCAAGCACACAGCUGGAGAAGGAAAGGAAAACAAACGAGAGAAUACAGCCAUUACAGGCAGAACAAACAUACUGGUGCCAUGGAACAAGUCCCUCAAAGAUACCAAAUUCUUUCUGACCUUCUGGGGGGAUGCUGUGGGGAAAUCAUGUGAAAGGUUAGUAAAACAGCUGCACCAUUAUGCAAGUCAGCUCUGAUUAUCCAUUAACUGCUUGCCCCCAUUUACCAACUUGAAGCAAGGCUUCUAUGCCAGAAUUCUUAAUUAUUACAGCUGGUAUUCCUAAAGCCCAAAACAUUUUACUUGGGAUUAUUUGUCUAGUGAUUAUUAAUAGUAGUUUGGACUAGAUACCCAAGUCCCCUUUAAGUGACUUUCCGAUUCAAAUUUUCAACCUAUUGUUAAAAAGACAGCAGGCACCUUGUCCCACUGUGCCAUUUGGUGCAGCCUACAAUGGUGGUUCACUCAGUUUGCAUCAAAGUGUAACUCUAGACAGAAAUUUCAGAUUUGGCUAUUCAAUGCCUUACUGUAUGCUAGAAAACAUUUAUGUAGAAGUGUUUUAAGAGCUACACAACAUAAGUUCCCCAGAAAAAAAUAAAUCUGGUUCUGCUUCUGACUAGAAAAGUCAGCAUAUAAAAUGCUGGAAACCCAGUAUUGUUAUUUUUUAACUUUUUUAAGGUUAAAUGUGUUCACACUUCUUUAUUUUCAAUGUAGACUUUUCUUGGUUUACUUGAUGCAUCACAAAAUGCACCAAAAUACUGUAACUUGUUACCAGGUAUUUGUGCAAUCCAAUUUAAAAUCUGUAUUUGGAGAAAGCACCAGAAAAGUUUAAGGCUUAGAUCAGUUAGAAAGUAAACCUGUAGCUGAAUUUUGUUCUCUUAAGAAACAAGUAAUUUUGAUUAUUUGCAUUGUAAUUAACAUACUUAAGUAACAAUGAUCCUUUCUUAUCCCACCAUGACUAGAUAUAGAUUUUGCCAUAAACUUAACAUUAACCCAAAAAACACAGAGACAUAGCAUUGAACUUCUGUUUUAAUGGUCUCAAAUUCUGUGACAGAUUUUUGGUCAAGUUUCCAUUUUAAAAAAUUUAUCGAUUUUAAAGACUAAUAACUUAAACUGCCACGAAACAAAUGGUCCACAAACAUUCCUUUCCUUCUGAAGC